UACGUAGGGUGCAAGCGUUAUCCGGAUUCACUGGGCUUAAAGGGUGCGUAGGCGGAUAGGUAAGUCCGUGGUGAAAUCCUGCAGCUUAACUGCAGAACUGCCAUGGAUACUAUCUAUCUUGAAUGUCGUGGAGGUUAGCGGAAUAUGUCAUGUAGCGGUGAAAUGCUUAGAGAUGACAUAGAACACCCAUUGCGAAGGCAGCUAACUACGCGAUAAUUGACGCUGAUGCACGAAAGCGUGGGGAUCAAACAGG
rnacentral:rRNA from 1 species